CCUACGGGAGGCAGCAGUGAGGAAUUUUCUGCAAUGGGCGAAAGCCUGACAGAGCAAUACCGCGUGAGGGAUGAAGACUUACUGAGUUGUAAACCUCGGUGCCUUAAGGAAGAAGAUCUGACGGUACUUAAGGUGGAAAGCAUCGGCUAACUCCGUGCCAGCAGCCGCGGUAAGACGGGGGAUGCAAGUGUUAUCCGGAAUUACUGGGCGUAAAGCGUCUGCAGGUGGUUUUAUAAGUCUGCUGUUAAAUCUUGAGGCUCAACCUCAAAUCUGCAGUGGAAACUAUAAGACUUGAGUAUAGUAGGGGUAGAGGGAAUUUCCAGUGGAGCGGUGAAAUGCGUAGAUAUUGGAAAGAACACCGAUGGCGAAGGCACUCUACUGGCUAUUACUGACACUCAGAGACGAAAGCUAGGGGAGCAAAUGGGAUUAGAUACCCCAGUAGUCCUAGCCGUAAACGAUGGAUACUCGAUGUUGGACGUAUCGACCCGUUCAGUAUCUUAGCUAACGCGUUAAGUAUCCGCCUGGGGAGUACGCUCGCAAGAGUGAACUCAAAUGAAUUGACGGCGUGAGACGNGCGACGACGACGACGAGGGAGAGG
rnacentral:rRNA from 1 species